UACGAAGGGGGCUAGCGUUGCUCGGAAUGACUGGGCGUAAAGGGCGCGUAGGCGGCGGUCACAGUCAGAUGUGAAAUUCCUGGGCUUAACCUGGGGGCUGCAUUUGAUACGUGGUUGCUUGAGUGGGGAAGAGGGUCGUGGAAUUCCCAGUGUAGAGGUGAAAUUCGUAGAUAUUGGGAAGAACACCAGUGGCGAAGGCGGCGACCUGGUCCUUGACUGACGCUGAGGCGCGAAAGCAUGGGGAGCAAACAGG
rnacentral:rRNA from 1 species